AACGCUAGCUACAGGCUUAACACAUGCAAGUCGAGGGGCAGCAUUGGAGUAGCAAUACUUCAGAUGGCGACCGGCGCACGGGUGAGUAACACGUAUCCAACCUGCCGCUUACUCGGGGAUAGCCUUUCGAAAGAAAGAUUAAUACCCGAUGGUAUAAAGAGUUCGCAUGUUCUCUUUAUUAAAGAAUUUCGGUAAGCGAUGGGGAUGCGUUCCAUUAGAUAGUUGGCGGGGUAACGGCCCACCAAGUCUACGAUGGAUAGGGGUUCUGAGAGGAAGGUCCCCCACAUUGGAACUGAGACACGGUCCAAACUCCUACGGGAGGCAGCAGUGAGGAAUAUUGGUCAAUGGGCGCGAGCCUGAACCAGCCAAGUAGCGUGAAGGAUGAAGGUCCUACGGAUUGUAAACUUCUUUUAUAAGGGAAUAAAGUCACUUACGUGUAGGUGUUUGUAUGUACCUUAUGAAUAAGCAUCGGCUAACUCCGUGCCAGCAGCCGCGGUAAUACGGAGGAUGCGAGCGUUAUCCGGAUUUAUUGGGUUUAAAGGGAGCGUAGACGGGUCGUUAAGUCAGCUGUGAAAGUUUGAGGCUCAACCUUAAAAUUGCAGUUGAUACUGGCGUCCUUGAGUACGGUUGAGGCAGGCGGAAUUCGUGGUGUAGCGGUGAAAUGCUUAGAUAUCACGAAGAACUCCGAUUG
rnacentral:rRNA from 1 species